rnacentral:rRNA from 1 species
AUUGAACGCUGGCGGCAUGCCUUACACAUGCAAGUCGAACGGCAGCACGGGUGCUUGCACCUGGUGGCGAGUGGCGAACGGGUGAGUAAUACAUCGGAACAUGUCCUGUAGUGGGGAUAGCCCGGCGAAAGCCGGGUUAAUACCGCAUACGAUCCUCCGAUGAACGGGGGGGACCCUCGGGGCUCGGCCGAAAGGGGUUGGCGAUGGCUGAUUAGCUAGUUGGUGGGGGAAAGGCCUACCAAGGCGACGAUCAGUAUCUGGUCUGAGAGGACGACCAGCCACACUGGGACUGAGACACGGCCCAGACUCCUACGGGAGGCAGCAGUGGGGAAUUUUGGACAAUGGGCGAAAGCCUGAUCCAGCAAUGCCGCGUGUGUGAAGAAGGCCUUCGGGUUGUAAAGCACUUUUGUCCGGAAGGAAAUCCUUGGCCCUAAUACGGUCAGGGGAUGACGGUACCGGAAGAAUAAGCACCGGCUAACUACGUG